rnacentral:rRNA from 1 species
UACGUAGGGUGCGAGCGUUACUCGGAAUUACUGGGCGUAAAGCGUGCGCAGGCGGUUUUGUAAGCCAGAUGUGAAAUCCCCGGGCUUAACCUGGGAAUGGCAUUUGGGACUGCAAGGCUGGAGUGCGGCAGAGGAGACUGGAAUUCCUGGUGUAGCAGUGAAAUGCGUAGAUAUCAGGAGGAAUACCGAUGGCGAAGGCAGUUCUCUGGGCUGACACUGACGCUCAUGCACGAAAGCGUGGGGAGCAAACAGG